ensembl:misc_RNA Metazoa_SRP Metazoan signal recognition particle RNA
GCUGGGCGUGGUGGCUCACGCCUGUAAUCCCAGCACUUUGGGAGGUCGAGGUGGGUGGAUCACCUGAGGUCAGGAGUUUGAGACCAGCCUGACCAACAUGGAGAAACCCCAUCUCUA